AUCCAACUGAUGAGUCCCAGAUAGGGUGAAAUGCGCGUCAAACUGGAU
rfam:Schistosoma mattheei strain Denwood, Zambia genome assembly, scaffold: SMTD_scaffold0016482